CUGAGGCAAUGCCUAACGGCUGUUAGGGAAACACUCCUAAUCAUACCAAGCAGACAUCUCUGGUCAGUCAGAUAACAGUGUGCUAUGGACAAUAUCCUCCCCUACCCAUGCUGACUGGACAGUUCAAACAUAAGUAAGGCGGGAACAGUAUUGACUGGACUGUUCAACUGCAAGCAAGGAAGAAACAGCAUUGAUUGGACAACAAGUUGGAGGAUGGCAAGCUGGAGGACUGCCGAAAAAUGAGGAUAAAAAGGGAGCCCUUGCACCACUCUCCAUCCUCUCGGGGAUCAUGGCCCGGUGUGUGUGAACUUCUGGAUCUCCACACAUCUGGAGCUGAAGAGGCAGCCCACUACUCUGCAUGGAGCAGAUAGUGGCACAAGCCAACAACAGACAAAGGGCCCGGUGUGUGUGAACCUCUGGAUCUUCUCACACUUGGAGCCGAAGAGUCAGCCCACUAGCUUUUACUACACGGCAUAAGGUGACUACGGGAUCAAAACUCCAGCUGAGAUGUCAUCUCACCACCUUGCCUGGAGUCCUUAUCAGCCUGCUGCCAGACCUGACCACAAAGCUGGACCAGGCCUCUUAGCAGGGGGACCUCUCGAACUUCUUGCCUGGCCAUCCUCCUGGGAAGGAAGUUGAAAAUCUAGAUUAUCAUUCCAAUGUACCUUCUGAAGGAUGUUGAUCAACACUUGCCUUUCAUUUAUUUUUGACAGUCUUACUCUUCUGUGUGUAUUAAAGGCCCUAGCCCCUGCUGCCAUUGCUGGAAGCCAAGUGGCCACAUGGCCCAACCACCGGUAUCAAGCUCCACCCCCAUCCAAUGAGAUUCACUGCUCCUGCUUCGCUGCCCGCCCUCGGGCAAAGUUUUAAAAGAACCUGUUCCUGAACACGUGGCUCUCUUGGCUUCUCUCAUCUGCUCUCCUCUCCUCCUCUCGUCUCUCUUCUCUCUGCUCUAUCUUCUCUCCUCUGUCUCUCUUAUACUCUCCUUCUCUCCCUUUUUCCCUCUUCACCACUUCCCUCCAGCCUGCUGGCUUUUCUCCAAUAAACCCUUUCCCUUA